ACGACAAACCAAAGGACCUUUCGGGCGCCAAGAGAUGAGCCUGCGUCCCAUUAGCUUGGUUGGUAGGGGUAACCGGCCCUACCAAGGCUACGAUGGGUAGCUGGUCUGAGAGGAUGAUCAGCCACACUGGGACUGAGAUACGGCCCAG
rnacentral:rRNA from 1 species